rnacentral:rRNA from 1 species
UACAGAGGUGGCAAGCGUUGUUCGGAAUUACUGGGCGUAAAGGGCGCGUAGGCGGUCUUGUAAGUCUUGUGUGAAAUCCCUCGGCUUAACUGAGGAACUGCACGAGAUACUGCGAGACUUGAGAUCGGGAGAGGGAUGCGGAAUUCCAGGUGUAGCGGUGAAAUGCGUAGAUAUCUGGAGGAACACCGGUGGCGAAGGCGGCAUCCUGGACCGGCAUUGACGCUGAGGCGCGAAAGCCAGGGGAGCAAACGGG